CAAGUCGAACGGAAAGGCCCUGCUUGCAGGGUACUCGAGUGGCGAACGGGUGAGUAACACGUGGGUGAUCUGCCCUGCACUUCGGGAUAAGCUUGGGAAACUGGGUCUAAUACCGGAUAGGACCGCACUUUAGUGUGUGUGGUGGAAAGUUUUUUCGGUGUAGGAUGAGCUCGCGGCCUAUCAGCUUGUUGGUGGGGUAAUGGCCUACCAAGGCGGCGACGGGUAGCCGGCCUGAGAGGGUGUACGGCCACAUUGGGACUGAGAUACGGCCCAGACUCCUACGGGAGGCAGCAGUGGGGAAUAUUGCACAAUGGGCGCAAGCCUGAUGCAGCGACGCCGCGUGGGGGAUGAAGGCCUUCGGGUUGUAAACUCCUUUCGCUAGGGACGAAGCUUUUUGUGACGGUACCUAGAUAAGAAGCACCGGCUAACUACGUGCCAGCAGCCGCGGUAAUACGUAGGGUGCGAGCGUUGUCCGGAAUUACUGGGCGUAAAGGGCUCGUAGGUGGUUUGUCGCGUCGUCUGUGAAAUUCUGGGGCUUAACUCCGGGCGUGCAGGCGAUACGGGCAUAACUUGAGUGCUGUAGGGGUAACUGGAAUUCCUGGUGUAGCGGUGAAAUGCGCAGAUAUCAGGAGGAACACCGAUGGCGAAGGCAGGUUACUGGGCAGU
rnacentral:rRNA from 1 species